UGUAGUUCAGCAAUAUCUGGAAGGCCGGAGUUUGGGGAAGCCUGAUUUAAAGCUUUUACCUCUUUGAUCAUAGUUGAGGCAAUUUGACCUGUCCGUUUGUGAUGUGAAUGUUAAAUCUAUGCUAUGAUUUAUUUAAUUAUUGGUUGGUCUGGAUAUUUGCCUUGUAAGUUGUCAAGGUAUAUUAAGUGCUAUCAUUUUGCUUUGAAAUUAAAUUGUGCUGGUUGAAUAAUGGCAGAUUUUGAAUAAUAGUUUUGCCAUCUAUAUAUCUUGCUCACAUUUUCUAUUGUGUGUACUACCAUGCAGUGAAGUUAGUCCUUGUGAGAAUCCUUCUUUAGAGCUCGGUGUGAGAAAACAUCCUGAAAUGUUAUCUUAUCCCAGUGAUAGUUUUUCCCAUUACUCUAUUUAACUGUAAGCUAUUUGAAAUAUUGUAAGGUGUUGUUUACAGCAAUGUAAAAGGGCAAAUUUGCUAAAUGAAUUGAGUUUAUAUUUCCAAAGCCAUUGACAUAUUUUUCAUUUGUUCCUUUUAAUUUAUGAUCUUGUUACAAUUCUUAUCUGCAAAUAGAUACUGUGUAAAUGUGCCACAACUUCUACAUUGAGAGCACCACUGUUAAUUAGACUACCAAUACAUUCUUUUAUGAACUUGUUUGAAAGACUUCAUCACUGUCGACUUUUUAUUUUCCUUGAACCAUGACAAUAAGCCACAUUAGGAACUAAUUUUUUAGAGGAUCACCAAACUGCACUAAGCAAAGAACGAGUCUGAUGACCAUGUUAAAGUGGGCCCAUUUUUAAUUCUAAAAUAAAUUUUGUAACGCACCUUCAUUAAACUGUUCCCAGUAUAAAAUGAAACAGUUAUGUAGUUUAGGGCCACCACAAUAAACCAUUUAUCACAAGAAGCUUGGGUGUUGACUAAUUUUAUGUCACAAUUGACAUAACCUGGAAGAACUAUUUUGGUUCCCAACUUAAAC